UCUCUCAUAGCUCAGUUGGUAAAGAAUCUGCCUGCAAUGCAGAAGACCUGGGUUCAAUUCCUGGGUCAGAA
rnacentral:tRNA from 1 species